ACUCAGCCGAUGAGUCCAAAACAGGACGAAACACGGGUCCUGCAU
rnacentral:hammerhead_ribozyme from 1 species